GACGAACGCUGGCGGCGUGCUUAACACAUGCAAGUCGAGCGGUAAGGCCCUUUCGGGGGUACACGAGCGGCGAACGGGUGAGUAACACGUGGGUGACCUGCCCUCCAGCUCUGGGAUAAGCCUGGGAAACUGGGUCUAAUACUGGAUAUGACUCCACGGUGCAUGUCGUGGGGUGGAAAGCCUUGUGCGGCUGAGGAUGGGCCCGCGGCCUAUCAGCUUGUUGGUGGGGUGAUGGCCUACCAAGGCGACGACGGGUAGCCGGCCUGAGAGGGCGACCGGCCACACUGGGACUGAGACACGGCCCAGACUCCUACGGGAGGCAGCAGUGGGGAAUCUUGCGCAAUGGGCGAAAGCCUGACGCAGCGACGCCGCGUGAGGGAUGACGGCCUCGGUUGUAA
rnacentral:rRNA from 1 species